GCCUCUUUAGCUCAGUGGCAGAGCACUGGUCUAGUAAACCAGGGGUCGUGAGUUCGAUCCUCACAGGAGCAGACG